GCCCCUCGGGGCAUAUGGUCAACUGAAAAUAUACAGAGGAGAUUAGCAUGGCCCCUGCACUAAGGAUGACACGCAUAAUGAAAGAGAAGCUACUUUUUUUU
rnacentral:snRNA from 1 species